rnacentral:tRNA from 1 species
GGGGUGAGUGAGGUUCAAGUUAGGUGGAAAGCGGUUUUGCUAAUGUCCGAGCUUGCUAAACCGCUGUUGGGGUUUCUCAACCGAGAGUUCGAAUCUCUCCCUCUCCG